rnacentral:lncRNA from 10 species
CUCAGCACCUGGGUUCUUGUCUAGCAUCCAGGAAGAAUCAGGUCACAUGAAUGGAUUGAAGAGUAGUGUAUGCAGAGGAUUUUAUUGGGCGGUGGAAGUGGCUCUCAGUGAGAUGGGAGUUGGUAAGGGGAUGGUGUGGGAAGAAGGCGAUCUUUCCCCAAAGCUGCACCAUCUGGAGUUGGUUGCAUCUAUCCAUUGUCUCUGAUGCUCAGCCGCUUCUAUUUCCACCACUCAGCUGCUUGUAUUCCUGACACUCAGAUGCUUGUAUUCCCAGUGCUCAGCUGCUUGUGUUAUUUUGCCAGCUGAAGUCUUUUUAUGGGCACAGGAUAGGGGCAUGGCAGGCCAAAAAGGCCACAUUUGGAUGGAAAAAUGAGAUAAUGCUUUAACUGCCAUAAAUCCCAGCUACGGAGGUGAGGAAACGGCAUGAGCAUAACCAUAUCCUCUACGUAUUGCAUAGUGAAUGCAAGCUGGCCUGACUAUUCAUUGUAUCUUUUCGUUGAGGCGCUUGGCUUCCACUCCAAAUGUGAAGUCUUUUCCUUUUCCAGCUAGUUAAGCACUCUAUUGCCUCUGGACUUCCUGUUGGCUGCCCAUCAGCACCCCGACCUCUCCAGACCUGAGGCUUUUCUCUGUUGGCUCGGCACUUCUUCCUGCCGCCAUGUGAAGAAAGAUGUGUUUGCUUCCCAUUCUGCCAUGAUGAUAGGAAAGGACUGGAUCCUGAGAAGAGAGAAACAAAUGAGAAUUCAGAGAAAGCUUCAUGUUUCCUGCUGUGUGAUAUAUCACCCUGUACCUCUUUAA